GUGCUCAUUUUAGCAGCACAUAUUCUAAAAUUGGAACAUUACAGAGAAGAUUAGCAUGGCUUCUGUGCAAGCAUGACAUGCAAAUCUGUGAAGUGUUCCAUAUUUUU
ensembl:snRNA U6 U6 spliceosomal RNA